GCCUGGGUGGCGGAAUUGGUAGACGCCAGGGACUUAAAAUCCCUUGCUCGUAAGAGCGUACGAGUUCAAGUCUCGUCCCAGGUACCA
rnacentral:tRNA from 1 species